rnacentral:lncRNA from 1 species
UUGUUGUUGUUGUUUUUGUUGUUCUCCUUGUUGUGAUUGUUGUUUUCGUUGUUGUUGUUGUCGUUGUUGUUGUUGUUGUCGUAGUAGUAGUAGUAGUAGUAGUAGUAGUAGUAGUAGUAGUCGUCAUCAUUGUCGUUGUCUUCAUUGUUCUCGUCAUUGUCGUUGUUGUUGACGUUGUUGUUCUUGUUGUUGUUGUUGUUGUUGUUGUUGUUGUUGCUGCUGUUUUUGUUGUUGUUGUCAUUGUUAUCGCUGUUGUCGUUGUUGUCGUUGUUGUCGUUGUUGUUGUUGUAGUUAUCGCUGUUAUCGUUGUUCUCAUCACUAUCAUUGUGGUUAUCGUUGUAAUCGUUGAUGUCG